AGAGUUUGAUCAUGGCUCAGGAUGAACGCUAGCUACAGGCUUAACACAUGCAAGUCGAGGGGAAACGAUAUUGGAAGCUUGCUUCCGAUAGGCGUCGACCGGCGCACGGGUGAGUAACGCGUAUCCAACCUGCCUUACACUCUUGGACAGCCUUCUGAAAGGGGAGAUUAAUACAAGAUGUUAUCAUGAGUAAGCAUUUUCGCAUGAUUAAAGGUUUACCGGUGUAAGAUGGGGAUGCGUUCCAUUAGAUAGUAGGCGGGGUAACGGCCCACCUAGUCUUCGAUGGAUAGGGGUUCUGAGAGGAAGGUCCCCCACAUUGGAACUGAGACACGGUCCAAACUCCUACGGGAGGCAGCA
rnacentral:rRNA from 1 species